rnacentral:lncRNA from 1 species
AUGACCCUGGCCACUAAAGCUUUAGACUCAACUGCCCGCCUGUGUCCCCCUUCCAGUGACCCACCCUGUCCACCCACCUCCAGCUGCCUGGAUCCGGUUCCUUCUCCUGCUUUUCUCGACAAGUUCAGGGACCUUCCAGGGGGAACCGGGCAGAGCUGUGGAGAGCAAGUCCCCUGCUCUAGGAGACUGGCCACUUCUCUCCAGGAUGCUAAAUUGACUUUGGCUCUUCCCAGGGGAGCUCUGGAGACAGCUCCCUCUCACCCUGCCCCAUACUGUCCCCGCUUACUUGCAGAAGUGCUCUUGCUGACCCCUCUGGUGUGCGGUGAGGGGCUUUUCUUCCCCUUCCUGUUUCUGACCUCCCUACCACCCGCAGCACAUGGGUAUCGGAGGGACAGACGGGGGUCCCAGCGGAGAGUUUUAUUAUUAUCGCUUUAUGUUUUUGGUUAUUGGUUUUUUUUGUAUAGACCAAAGCAAAGAAAAUAAAAAUAACACACAGAUCCAAUGGAGGUUGUUUAGGGGUGUGAUAUGGGGGAGAUAAGGGGGUGCUCCCGCCUUGGCUGAAUGCUGUGUGUCCUCAUGAUUGCGUUGUGUGUGGGGAAGAUGGCAUCAGGGAAGAUGGGGAGAAGGAAGUGUUGGAGGAGCCAGGUUGUUUUAAUCCCGUACACACCUGUAGGGCUAUAACUUGAAACCCUAGGAAGCUCAAACGGGAAGAGGUGACUGGGGUGAGGCCCCCCAUUCAAGGUUCUGCUCCAGCCCCUCUUAGCCUCCAGCCUACUCUGCUGUGCAGCCAUAACACACUUGUGCUGCCUAUAGUUUGGAGUCCAGGCCUCUUGUUGGUCGGCAGUGGGUUCACCCCAGCUCCUGCCCAUCUCCUUUCUGUGUUCCCUGCUGCUGACUCUGUCCCCCUGCAGUAGCAUCAGUGACCGCCAGCACCCUCUGUGCUGAUCUUUGCUCAGGGAUGGGGGAUCUAGCUCAGACCUGACCCUAGGAGCACUCCCAGCCAGGCUGAGCUGGUGGAUCUCCUCCGUUCUUUGUAAUGUCCUGUGCACAGC